UUUGCUCCCGUUUUUUCAUUUUUUUUUCAUUGUAAUGUAAACCUCAAAAGAAGCUGACGCCUUUUUUCGAGCUCUUGUUUUCCGUCAUUUUCAUGUUAAACUUUGUUUCCUGCAAGUGAAGUUGCAACGAUCGUCAAAUUCAACAUUAACUACUUCGAAGAAUAUUACAAAUGGCUCGUAUGAGGAAAUAGUAAAAUCAUGAUGAUAUAAAUGCGACAAGCUGACGACAUAAAUUUCCAUCCAUUCACCAUGAGGAUAAAUUCAAGUUUCAAAAAGCCAUGCAGUGUAUAAGAAGAAUAUAAUAAUCUUCCCAAAUAAGGGUGUGAAAACUUGCGGCAAAAUAUUGAAGAUACAUCUGCUAAAAGCCAAGGUUCGUGGAUGUUUGAAAGGGUUGCUAAUGGCACAGUAACUCUGAAGGGUGAAAAUUAAUGAAGCAGAAAUUCAGGUUCCAUAUAAUAUAUGACACUUGGAAGGUGUCACUACAGGAGAACAUAUUGGUUUAUGAAAAUUGCUGAAGUGGGU